UGACAUUCUAAACACCGUAAGAUUCAUCUAAGUUCUACAUCUACAUGUUGUGCUGACUCUUUCUAAUUUGCAUUUGCAAGAUGCCAAUUUUGAGCCUAGCAAAAUCUAGCAAGGGAACUGUCUACUUGAUGGCACCUGAGAAAAGUGACAAUAAAAUUUGGUCUGGCAAGUUGCGAACCACAUGGUCACAUAGACCUCCAGCCGGACAUAUGGAGUCUUGGCUGCACAGUUUUGGAGAUGCUGACAGACAAGAAGAAAGAAACAAGAUCCAUAUGGCUACCUUUCCUGACUGAUAGAUUUGCUGUUUAUCUAUGUUUGUGCAAAUGUCGUACGUAUGGUAUAUUGGACCAAAAAUAGCAGUAGUCUUGGUCUAGAUGAUUCCAUCCUCUAACUGAGUUCAAAAGACUAUUUUGAAGAAUGAAUCAGGGUUUUUGCGCUC